rnacentral:lncRNA from 1 species
AUCAAAGAGAGGGGAGAAAUUUGAAGCAGUGUAUUUUAAGAGGUUGUUUUAAAAUAUGGAAACUGGGAAUGAAGUGGACCUAACUCUUACAGGUAAUGUAAUAGUUUAUACACUAUGAUCCUUCGUUUAAAAGGCAUAUCUUGUAACCAAUUUUAUUUGUGUCAAUAACCUUGAGGAUUGUUUUCUCUAUACUUCCAGCUUUCACAGGAAAAUGACAUAGAGACUUUGAUGGUUCUAAUGCUUUCAGCUCAAGUCUCAAGUUCUCAGUGACCUAACUGCAAGACAGUAGUGUAAAGGAGAGACAUGCCUUCUUGGAUUCAGAAAACAAGUCUUUAAUUAUACAACUGAACUGUUAGUCAUUUCAUUACUUUCUUACUGUAUGGAAAUAAGUGUGAGGAAAGAAAAAAAGUGACUCAAGAACAUCACUGGAUAUUUUUAGAACAUUUCUACUUGUUACUGUUGCUCCAGAAUUAUCUUCCACCAAGAAUGGGAAAAGAACUUCAUUUAAAAAUAAUAAAAAUGUACCAUAUUAAACAACAAACUUAUGGAGAUGAAUAAAAAACCAUCUUUGUCCUCAAUGGGCUCAUUAAGAAAGAAGGUAAACAUGUACAUAAAUUAGUAAUAAGCUUAGUGCCACUAUGCUAGCAACUUAACAUUAGUAAAUACAAGGCACAUCGAUGGCACAAGGGAGACUAACUCUACCUAGAAGGUCCACAUUAACAUUAUUAAGGCUCGAGAUUUAAACUGAGUUUUCAAGAAUGGGUUAUUUCCUGAGUGGUAGUGAGCUAAGUGAUUUAUAUGGAUUAUCUGUUCAAAUCCUCAGUAUUAUUUGUGAUAGGUAACCCCAUUUUACAUAUGAAUUCAGGUGAUUUAGUCUAGCACUUACUCUGAAUACUAUAACCUGACACACAUAAGUACACAAAGAUAGUCACAAAGGAAAAGGACUUUAUAAGACUGUAACUCUUUCACUUACAUACAAAAAUAUGGGACCAGAAUGCUUUAAAAAUUAGUCAAAG